rnacentral:lncRNA from 1 species
CAAUAGAAAAUUAAAACAUCCUUUCAUCUUUUAAUCACCUGUUAUUCUCUAACAUUUGCAGAAUGUAACUGGAAGCCCAUAGACAAGGGGGUCUGGGAAAUGCAGUUUGUGGAGUUCCGGCUCCCCCAUAAUUCAGCACAGAAGAGUACGAGUGAAGGCUUACAGCACAUGGAGAGAAGUCCUCCUGCAUAUUAAUCCAUGUGGGGGAUGAAGGCAAGGCGUGUGGGAAUACAGUCAUGAGGCUAUUAAUGACUCCAUGGGAGGAAGGAGCCGAGAAACCUUGGGACCAACUGCUCUGUUCUGGACACUGGAUUACUCGACUGGAGUGUGAGGAGGUCAAAUCCAGAGAUGGAAAAAGUUGGAAGGAGAAAAAGAGAGAGAUAGAAAGUAGAAGGCACAGAGAGAAGAAGCAGAGAAACAUAAAAGAAAAUGAGAAAUAUACAAGUACGUGGACACAAAGAUGUAGGGAAAGUACAGAGACAAAGGCAUUCAGAAAAGCUUUCUGUCUUGGGCUAGAGACAUGCGGAGGUUUUGGAGGCAGUCUUGGUGCAGGCAGGCCACAAGAGGAGAGUCUUGGUUGA